GAAGGUGCAUUUCAGAAGGUAUUGAAGGAUUGGCAUGGUCUGUUGGAUCGACACAGACUGAUGCUGGAAGCUUGUAUACUGAAUUCAGUUUCAGAAGAAGAUUAUCUUGAGUUGGGAAGAGCUGGACUGGGAAGUUGUUUGCUGGGUGGGUUACCAGAUUGGGUGAUUGGAUAUUCUGCUCGUCUGGUGCGGUUCAUCAAUUUCGAGAGAACA